GACGAACGCUGGCGGCGUGCUUAACACAUGCAAGUCGAACGGAAAGGCCCUGCUUUUGUGGGGUGCUCGAGUGGCGAACGGGUGAGUAACACGUGAGUAACCUGCCCUUGACUUUGGGAUAACUUCAGGAAACUGGGGCUAAUACCGGAUAGGAGCUCCUGCUGCAUGGUGGGGGUUGGAAAGUUUCGGCGGUUGGGGAUGGACUCGCGGCUUAUCAGCUUGUUGGUGGGGUAGUGGCUUACCAAGGCUUUGACGGGUAGCCGGCCUGAGAGGGUGACCGGCCAAAUUGGGACUGAGAUACGGCCCAGACCCCUACGGGAGGAAACGGGGGGGAAUAUUGCAAAAGGGGGGGAGGCCGGAUGCAGCACCGCCGGGUGGGGGAGGACGGCCUUGGGGUUGUAAACCGUUUUCGCCUGGGACGAAGCGUGGGUGAGGGUAAUGGGUAAAGAAGCACCGGCUAACUACGU
rnacentral:rRNA from 1 species